rnacentral:rRNA from 1 species
UUUUUACAAAAACAUAGCCCAAAGAUUUAUUUUAGGUAAAUUCUGCCCAGCGUAAUUUAUUAGCGGCCGCAGUACUUUGACUGUGCUAAGGUAGCAUAAUCAAUUGGCUUUUAAUUGUAGUCUGGAAUGAAAGGACUAAUAGGGGUUAGCUGUCUCUAUACUAUUAUUUUGAAUUUAUUUAUUAAGUGAAAAUACUUAUACAAAGAAAAAAGACGAGAAGACCCUUAGAAUUUUAAUAAAAUAUUUAAUAAUUUUUUUUUGUUGGGGCGACAUUGAAACAAUUAAACUUUCAUUGACAAUCAAGACAUUUAGGUUUGAAAGAGUAAAUUACCUUAGGGAUAACAGCAUAAUUAAUUAUUUAGUUUGUGACCUCGAUGUUGGACUAGGAACUAGAAGAUUAACCGUCUAAAUAGAUGUCGUCG